UACGAGGGGGGCGAGCGUUGUUCGGAAUUAUUGGGCGUAAAGGGUGCGUAGGCGGUUUGGCAAGUCGGGUGUGAAAACUCCGGGCUCAACUCGGAGACGCCACUCGAUACUGCUAUGACUCGAGUCCGGUAGGGGAGUGCGGAAUUCCUGGUGUAGCGGUGAAAUGCGCAGAUAUCAGGAGGAACACCGGUGGCGAAGACGGCACUCUGGGCCGGAACUGACGCUGAGGAGCGAAAGCGUGGGGAGCGAACAGG
rnacentral:rRNA from 1 species